rnacentral:rRNA from 1 species
CGCUGGCGCGUGCCUAAUACAUGCAAGUCGAACGCACUCUCGUUUAGAUUGAAGGAGCUUGCUCCUGAUUGAUAAACAUUUGAGUGAGUGGCGGACGGGUGAGUAACACGUGGUAGCCUGCCCUAAAGUGGGGAUAACAUUUGGAAACAGAUGCUAAUACCGCAUAAAACCUAACACCGCAUGGUGUAGGGUUGAAAGAUGGUUUCGGCUAUCACUUUAGGAUGGACCCGCGGUGCAUUAGUUAGUUGGUGAGGUAAAGGCUCACCAAGACCGUGAUGCAUAGCCGACCUGAGAGGGUAAUCGGCCACACUGGGACUGAGACACGGCCCAGACUCCUACGGGAGGCAGCAGUAGGGAAUCUUCCACAAUGGACGAAAGUCUGAUGGAGCAACGCCGCGUGAGUGAAGAAGGUUUUCGGAUCGUAAAACUCUGUUGUUGGAGAAGAAUGUAUCCGAUAGUAACUGAUCAGGUAGUGACGGUAUCCAACCAGAAAGCCACGGCUAACUACGUG